CCUACGGGAGGCAGCAGUAGGGAAUUUUCGGCAAUGGGGGGAACCCUGACCGAGCAACGCCGCGUGAACGAAGAAGUUAUUCGUAAUGUAAAGUUCUAUCAGCAGGGAAGAAAAUGACGGUACCUGACUAAGAAGCCCCGGCUAACUACGUGCCAGCAGCCGCGGUAAUACGUAGGGGGCAAGCGUUAUCCGGAUUUACUGGGUGUAAAGGGAGCGUAGACGGCAGCACAAGUCUGGAGUGAAAUCCCGGGGCUUAACCCCGGAACUGCUUUGGAAACUGUGCGGCUGGAGUGCAGGAGGGGUAAGCGGAAUUCCUAGUGUAGCGGUGAAAUGCGUAGAUAUUAGGAGGAACACCGGUGGCGAAGGCGGCUUACUGGACUGUAACUGACGUUGAGGCUCGAAAGCGUGGGGAGCAAACAGGAUUAGAUACCCCAGUAGUC
rnacentral:rRNA from 1 species